AACAUCGCGCACCUGCGGGAACCUGCGGAGGGAUCAUUACACAAUACAAUAUGAAGGCUGUCCGCAGCUGGAGUAUUUUAUUACCCUUGUCUUUUGCGCACUUGUUGUUUCCUGGGCGGGUUCGCUCGCCACCAGGACCACCAAAUAAACCUUUUUUAUGCAGUUGCAAUCAGCGUCAGUACAAACAAUGUAAAUCAUUUACAACUUUCAACAACGGAUCU
rnacentral:misc_RNA from 1 species